CCCAGUUGAAACUAAUAUACCCUAAAAAGAAAAAGAGACUAGAUUUCAUGGGAGAAACAACAUUUUUAGGACACGGGAGUGGAACAUGGAUUUUGUUCCAACAGUGCUUCCCACACUGGAGUCUGCAGAAGAGUUGAUGCUCACUGUGGUGCUAUGCGAAACAGUGUAUUGGCUACAAGGAUCCUUUGCGUGUGAGUGGUAGUGACAGUGGGGAAGCCAUCUGUUGAUGGGUCCCAGAAGACUGCUCAACAGAACCAAGUUCAGGAAAUUCUGCAUUGGACUAAUACCAGUCCCAGAGGGUACAGGACGAUGCAGUCUCUCAGAAUCACUGGGCAUGUUCUUCCCGGAUCUGAUAGAAGAUGGUUUCCCAGGAGGGAACAGCCACAGUCAGCCUUGAA
rnacentral:lncRNA from 1 species